UACGAAGGGGGCUAGCGUUGCUCGGAAUGACUGGGCGUAAAGGGCGCGUAGGCGGAUGGCACAGUCAGAUGUGAAAUUCCCGGGCUUAACCUGGGGGCUGCAUUUGAUACGUGUUGUCUUGAGUUCGGGAGAGGGUCGUGGAAUUCCCAGUGUAGAGGUGAAAUUCGUAGAUAUUGGGAAGAACACCGGUGGCGAAGGCGAUCACCUGGGGUUGUUCUGACGCUGAGGAGCGAAAGCUAGGGGAGCAAACGGG
rnacentral:rRNA from 1 species